AGUGAACGCUGGCGGUAGGCCUAACACAUGCAAGUCGAACGGCAGCACAGUAAGAGCUUGCUCUUACGGGUGGCGAGUGGCGGACGGGUGAGGAAUACAUCGGAAUCUACUUUUUCGUGGGGGAUAACGUAGGGAAACUUACGCUAAUACCGCAUACGACCUACGGGUGAAAGCAGGGGAUCUUCGGACCUUGCGCGAUUGAAUGAGCCGAUGUCGGAUUAGCUAGUUGGCGGGGUAAAGGCCCACCAAGGCGACGAUCCGUAGCUGGUCUGAGAGGAUGAUCGGCCACCCUGGAACUGAGACACGGUCCAGACUCCUACGGGAGGCAGCAGUGGGGAAUAUUGGACAAGGGGCGCAAGCCUGAUCCAGCCAUACCGCGUGGGUGAAGAAGGCCUUCGGGUUGUAAAGCCCUUUUGUUGGGAAAGAAAAGCAGCAGGUUAAUACCCCGCUGUUCUGACGGUACCCAAAGAAUAAGCACCGGCUAACUUCGU
rnacentral:rRNA from 1 species